GGGGAUGUGUCGAAAUUGGCAGACGAGCAUGACUUAGGAUCAUGUGCCGUAAGGCGUGUGGGUUCAAGUCCCACUAUCCCCA
rnacentral:tRNA from 1 species